rnacentral:rRNA from 1 species
GGAGUACGCCGGCAUCGGUGAAAAUCAAAGGAAUUGUCGGGGGCCCGCCCAAGCGGAGGAACAUGUGGUUUAAUUCAUAGAUACGCGAGGAACCUUACCCGGGCUCAAACGCAUAAUGACGACAGUUGAAAGAUUGUUUCCCUUCGGGGCAUUAUGCGAGGUGCUGCAUGGUUGUCGUCAGCUCGUGCCGUGCGGUGUUGGCUUAAGUGCCAUAACGAGCGCAACCCCUAUCGACAGUUGCUAACGAGUAAAGUGGAGGACUCUGUUGAGACUGCCGGCGCAAGCUGUGAGGAAGGCGGGGAGGACGUCAAAUCAGCACGGCCCUUACGUCCGGGGCGACACACGUGUUACAAUGGCAGGGACAGCGGGAAGCCACCAAGCGAUUGGGCGCGGAACCCGAAACCCUGUCUCAGUUCGGAUUGGAGUCUGCAACUCGACUCCAUGAAGCUGGAUUCGCUAGUAAUCGCGCAUCAGCCAUGGCGCGGUGAAUACGUUCAACGGGCCUUGCACUCACCGCCCGUCAAG